GGCUUGGUGGUCUAGAGGUAUGAUUCCUUCUUAGGGUUGUGGUCAUGAACCGCGAUCACUUGGAGGAGGUCCCGGGUUCGAUUCCCGGCUAAGCCC